rnacentral:lncRNA from 1 species
GUGAGAUAAGAAAGUACCGAGUUUUGUAGUAAUUCAUUUUUUCUUAAUGAAAUUCAAUCAUUCACUUAUUUGUUUAUUUAUUUUUAUUUAUUUAUUUUUUCAGUUUGAGAGCAGGUACUGUUUAUUAACCAAACAGCUUAGAAAAAUAAUCGUGGUAGACACCGUAGUCCAUUCUUUUAAUAAGCCUGUUGAUCUGGUCCUCCCUGUUGCCAGGAUCUCCACCUUCUACAAAGUGGGUGGCCUUUUCUUCAUUCCACCUCAUGCAGAAGAUAAUUUGAAGGGCCACAGGAAGUUAUUUGCUUCUUUGAAGCAUUUUCCAACAGUAUAGAUCUCAUGAAUCAGAUCCUCCAUGCAGACGAUGCCAUAUUUACCAAGAGAUUGAGCAAUCGAAGUGUUAUCUGUCAAAGAAAGCAAUUCGCUUCUUACUGAUUUUGCCAUAAGCACGCUUGUAGAUUAGUUCAUUUAUUUCAUUUCUGUAUAUCUGCCUAUAUUCCCUGUGAUAGUGCUUUGCUUCUUCAUAGAUAAGCUUCCUCCUUGCCUUUCAAAGCUUCUUUUAGGCAAACUUCUUUCAAAGGCACUUGAUCUUCAGCUCUGCGAAAUUCCUUCCCUUUUUCUUAAGGGUUUCUGGCAUAGCAGGGACCUUCUUCUUCUUCUCUUCUACAUCCUCCAUGGUUCCAGCUGGAAAAAGAGUUCAUUCACUUAUUUAACAAGUAUUUAUUGAGAGCCUUCUAUGUGCUAGCUGCUGUGCUUGGUGGUAGGAAUACUGAGAGCUAUAUUGACAAACACAAUAAAUCAUAGCCCAUAAACCAUUGGUGUGACAUCUGGCAGAGUAACAGCUCUCCAAGUAUGUACCAAAUGACACCAAUUCCAUGAAAUUCUCUUGUCCCCACUGGAGAGAGAAAGAGAAAAAGGAAGAAAGAAUAAAGGAAGAAGGAAAGAAAGGAAAAGCAGGGAGAAUUACUUUUUCUCCAAUUAGGGAAACACUGUACUCUCUGUUUUCAUUGUAUCAUAGAAUAAUAAAUGCUUUGGUAUGUUCUUCUAUAAAUAAUUGUGCUAGUUUUGUUUAAUUUAAUAGAAUUCUACCUACAAAUAUUUUGAGAACUAGUUUUCUGUGAAACAUUCUUUGAGAAAACUCAGUAGAAAUUAGUGUCAAAAACUAUCAGGAUGGCAAAGCUGCCUUGCCAUAGUUGUUGGUGGUCAAAUGUUGCUGCCACUGAGUGAAAUCCACCAUGGAGCCGCUAAGCCUGUCCUCUGUGGCUGCCAAACACACUUCAUGCAGUGCAUGGGGCUCCCUGCUGUGCACCUUCCCUGUGAGAAAUGGCUCGUCCCGGCUACUCACCCACCUGUUCCAAUUCAUUUACUUUCAUAAUCCUGACUUCAAAUUUACUUCACUGGUAGCAUUUUCUGAAGUGCCAUCAUUAGAAUAAAGGAACAUUUUAUUAUUUAAUUUUCUUAUGACAAUAGCAAAGCAUGCUUAUCAUAGAAACACUUUAAAAUGAUAGAAACUAGUAAGAGGAAAUAAAAGCCCAUCCAGAAAUAACUACUGUUCAUGUCUUGGUGAGCAUCCUCUCAAUGUUCUCUCCCUACCUCUAUUCUCUCUCUCUUUCUCUUUCUCUCUCUGUCUCACAUACACACAUCAAAAAUGAAAUCAUUUGAACUUUUUCCCUUAAUACUAUAUUAUGACAGGGGCUGUCUUAGUUUUCACUAUACUUGCAGUGCCUCGUGCAGACAGUGACACUCUGUAACUGCCCAGUGAAGAUUGGGUGAGAGGAUGACCAGUUCUGAGGCCUCUGCUAGCUCUGAAACUAUUUGAUCUUUAUCAUUCUUUUUGUAAAAUCAUUCUUUUAUUCUGUGAAUCUUACAUGUGGCAAUUUACUGUGUUGAUUUUUAAGGGAUUAUUAGAUUUUAUUUUUUAGAACAGUUUUAGAUUUACCAAAAAAUUGAGCUUAUAGUGCAGAACCUCCUCUCCCCAGAUGUUCUACUAUUUCCCUGUUAUUAACACCAUGUAUUAGUGUGGAACAUUUGCUGCAGUUAAUGAAAAAAUACUGAUACAGUAUUAGUAACUAAAGUUCAUAGUUUACAUUGAAGUUCAUCUUUGUGUUGUAUAGUUCUAUUGGUUUAGACAAAUGUAUAAUGUCAUAUAUCCAUCAUUACAGUAUCAUAGAGAAGAGAUUUAUUGCCCUAAAAAUCCCCCGUGCUUCACCGAUUGAUCUCUCUUCCCCUUCUGUCUCCCAACCUCUGGCAACCACUGACUUUUUUUUUUACUAUCUCCAUAGUUUUGCCUUUCCAGAAUGCCAUCUAGAUGGAAUGAUACAGUAUGUAACCUUUUAAGACUGGCUUCUUUCACUUAGCAAUAUGCAUUUAAGGUUUCUUCAUACAUUUUUAUAGCUUCAUAGCUCAUUUCUUUUUAUGAAAAGAAAAUCAUCCCAUGUAUGGCUAUACCACUACUUUUUAUUAUUACUAUUAUUAUUUUGAGAUGGAGUUUCGCUCUUGUUGCCCAGGCUGGGGUGCAAUGGCGCCA